GAUGAACGCUGGCGGCAGGCCUAACACAUGCAAGUCGAACGGAUCCUUCGGGAUUAGUGGCGGACGGGUGAGUAACGCGUGGGAACAUACCCUUUGGUACGGAAUAGCCUCGGGAAACUGGGAGUAAUACCGUAUGUGGUCGAGAGACGAAAGAUUUAUCGCCAAAGGAUUGGCCCGCGUUGGAUUAGGUAGUUGGUGGGGUAAUGGCCUACCAAGCCGACGAUCCAUAGCUGGUUUGAGAGGAUGAUCAGCCACUGGGACUGAGACACGGCCCAGACUCCUACGGGAGGCAGCAGUGGGGAAUCUUAGACAAUGGGGGAAACCCUGAUCUAGCCAUGCCGCGUGAUCGAUGAAGGCCUUAGGGUUGUAAAGAUCUUUCAGGUGGGAAGAUAAUAACUGUACCACCAGAAGAAGCCCCGGCUAACUCCGUGCCAGCCGCCGCGGUAAAAC
rnacentral:rRNA from 1 species